AAAACAUCGCCUCCCGCAAAAAUCAAAGUAUAGGAGGUCUUGCCUGCCCAGUGACUGAAAGUUAAACGGCCGCGGUAUUUUGACCGUGCAAAGGUAGCGCAAUCACUUGUCUUUUAAAUGAAGACCUGUAUGAAUGGUGGAACGAGGGCUUAACUGUCUCCUCCUUCUAGUCAAUGAAAUUGAUCUACCCGUGCAGAAGCGGGUAUAAUUAUACAAGACGAGAAGACCCUUUGGAGCUUAAGACAAAAGACCAACUAUGUUAAAAGUCCUAAAAAAGACUAAACCAAGUAGCACUGGUCCCAAUCUUCGGUUGGGGUGACCACGGGAGAAAACAAAGCUCCCAUGCAGACUGGGACAACCCCCCAAAACUAAGAAAGACAUUUCUAAGGCACAGAACAUCUGACUAAAAGAUCCGGCUACAUGCCGACCAACGGACCAAGUUACCCUAGGGAUAACAGCGCAAUCCCCUUCCAGAGUCCAUAUCGACAAGGGGGUUUACGACCUCGAUGUUGGAUCAGGAUAUCCUAAUGGUGCAGCCGCUAUUAAGGGUUC
rnacentral:rRNA from 1 species